GAAUCAGGCACGCGCUUCCCACACUCCCUUUAUAUCCACUUUCCCGGCUUUCUCACCUGGAAAACUCAGAAACGUCUCUGCUCGCACCAAUCUCUUCAAUGUCUUCAUAGCCGAGGCCUUCAAGAGGUUUUGACUUCUUAUGUUACUGAAUAAUAGCCCUGUAAAGAUGCUGCAUUCACCCUCCGUUCGUUUUAGUACUGAUCAUUCAAUUCCAACCCACGCAUUCCAUGGCACUUAUCUCUCAGUUCUUACAUUUCACAAGCAAAGCGUGAGGUUUUCACACCCAACAUAUGGACUUCACUUUACAAAUUCAGUGUUUGGGCAUCACCUCAUUGAAAUACUUGCAAAACAAAAGGGCUACUUGAACACAAGCCCCAAAGUUUUUGCUAAACGAAAUGACAAUAUUGAACAUGAAAGAGGGUGUUCAAAACCUCAAACUGAUGAUGAAGUGCUUCCAUCGGUCAUGGUAGCCUCUGGAGAUAUUCAGAGUCCUGAGAAACCAGAUAUGGUAGUUGUUGCAUCGGAUCCACACUUAAGUUUGAACCUCACUCAGGGCAUCCUUGAGGAUCCAAUAAACCGAGUUAACCUUCUUGACAAGUUAAAGGCCAUUCACUUGCACUUAUUGGCCAUGGAGCAAUGGAAUUCUUCUUCGCUUAAACUAUGUCACAGAACUUAUUUGGCUAGUGCGACAAACUUAAUACACUAUCUGGCUUUAAAAUGCUUGGACGUUGAGCAACUUAAAGAAGACCUUUCUUCUGUUGGUCUUCUGAGUUUGGAAAGCAUCAAUGCAAAUGUUCUAGCUAGUAUUACUGCUGGGAUCCAAAUGUUGGAAAAUCUGAAAGCUUGCCUGCUGAAUAGUGAAGACGAUGAGGGAGAUGAUAAUAGUACUCUGUCAGGUUCAGACUGUAGUAAAAAGACACAAUUCAGUAUGACCACAAUGAGGAAGAAGGCCUCAAGCCAUAGAGAUUCAUUGCUAGGUCAGCUUCAAGAUGCGAAAACCAUCCAUAUUAUGGUAACAGUUGGUAGAGAAGUCAUUGAGAAUGAAGCACUUAUAAGUGACCUUCUUAAUGCAGGGACCACCAUUUUCCGUAUCAAUUGUGCACAUGGAGACACUAGUGUUUGGAGCAACAUCAUUGGAAGUUUAAAAAAAAACUCCCAAAUGCUUGAGAAACCAUGUAAGAUACUCAUGGACUUGGCUGGACCAAAGCUCCGCACUGAUCCCGCGAAAACUGGUCCAUGUGUGAUGAAAAUAUCACCCAAAAGGGAUGCAAGAGGAAAUAUAAUCUUUCCUGCUCAAGUCUGGUUGUCUCAUGCGGAAUCAGGGGCUAUUCCUGCACACUUAAACGCUGAUGCUCUUCUGUCCAUUAAUGACCAAGAAUUUCUUAAUAAUCUUGAGGUGGGUAAUAUUUUGAGGUUCUCUGAUGCUAGGGGUAAACGAAGGAUGCUAAAAAUUUCACAAAAGAUUCCCAUUUUUGCUGGCAUUGGUUGCAUGGCUGAGUGUUUGAGGACUUCUUAUGUGGAAUCUGGCACAAAAUUUUAUCUCAAAGGGAGGAAGGGUAAACUUUCAGUUGGACGUGUGGAGGGUGUACCUGCAGUAGAGCAUUUUAUCAAAUUGAGAGUGGGAGACUUGCUAAUCAUAUCUCGAGAUACAUGCUUAACUGAACAAGAUACCUCGGUUGGAUCCACAGAUGUUGCUCCAAGGAUAACUUGUUCCUCUAGCCUUCUUUUUGAUUCUGUCAAACCUGGAGAGCCAAUUGCAUUUGAUGAUGGGAAAAUCUGGGGAGUAAUCCAAGGAACUAGUAUUUCAGAGAUUAUUGUCUCAAUCACUCAUGCUAGUCUAAAAGGCUCUAAACUUGGUUCAGGAAAAUCCAUCAACAUCCCUGAGAGUGAUAUUCGUUUUGAAGGCCUCACUUCAAAAGAUCUUAUGGACCUUGAUUUCGUUGCUGCUCAUGCUAACAUGGUGGGGAUCUCAUUCAUCCAAGAUGUCCAUGAUGUUGUAAUUCUUCGCAAUGAAUUGGAGAAACGGAAGCUUCUCAACUUAGGGAUUGUGCUAAAGAUCGAGACUCAAAGUGGGUUUGAGAAUUUACCUCUCCUUCUAUUGCAGGCAAUGCAAUCUCCAAAUCCUUUGGGAGUCAUGAUUGCCAGAGGAGAUCUUGCGGUGGAGUGUGGGUGGGAAAGGUUGGCGGAUAUCCAAGAAGAGAUUCUGUCCAUUUGUGGUGCUGCCCAUGUACCAGUCAUUUGGGCAACCCAAGUUCUUGAGUCCCUCGUCAAAUCAGGCCUACCUAGUAGAGCUGAGAUUACAGAUGUGGCCACUGGAAGGAGGGCUAGCUGCAUCAUGUUGAACAAAGGCAAACAUAUCUCUGAAGCUGUUUCAGCAUUAGAUUCUAUCCUUCACUGCAAUUCUAAAAAAGUGAAAGCAAAACUCAAGCCUCUUGUGAUGUCAAGCCACCUCUUUUAGCAGUACAAAUGAGGAUCGGUGGUGGUGCUUGUUAUCCAAACAAGUACAAAUGAGGAUCGGUGGUGGUGCUUGUUAUCCAAACAAGGUCAAAGGAGCGGGCCACUCUUCUACUUUGAUUUUGGGCGGCGUUCUCAUCAGGCUUUUGCUCUCUUACCAUCAAAAGAAGAAUUAACAGCUAAAGACGAUCAGCUUGUGGCACAAACAACGUUUUGGUCAUCUUUAUGCUCUUCGUCUGCAUUCUCAAAGUAAUAGAAUAGGUCACAGUUUCUCAUUUGAUUAUUUUCAUUUAGCCUAACAUUCUUUUGUCUCAUUUUCAAAAAAUCAUAAGAAAAUGGAUGCUAGUUCUUUUCCAUUUAUGCUUGUUCAUUCUAAUGUUUGGGGUCCUGCGCCUGUUGGCCCUAGAUGUGGUUACUCUUAUUAUGUGACGUUUUGUUUAUUGAUGAUUUUUCUCGUUGUACUUGGAU